CAGCCGCGCGGGAAUACGUAGGGUGCGAGCGUUAAUCGGAAUUACUGGGCGUAAAGCGUGCGCAGGCGGUUCGUUAAGACAGAUGUGAAAUCCCCGGGCUUAACCUGGGAACUGCAUUUGUGACUGGCGAGCUAGAGUAUGGCAGAGGGGGGUAGAAUUCCACGUGUAGCAGUGAAAUGCGUAGAGAUGUGGAGGAAUACCGAUGGCGAAGGCAGCCCCCUGGGCCGAUACUGACGCUCAUGCACGAAAGCGUGGGGAGCAAACAGGAUUAGAUACCCCCGUAGUCCCUGUCUCUUAUACC
rnacentral:rRNA from 1 species